rnacentral:rRNA from 1 species
CCUACGGGAGGCAGCAGUGAGGAAUAUUGGUCAAUGGGCGCGAGCCUGAACCAGCCAAGUCGCGUGAGGGAAGACGGUCCUAUGGAUUGUAAACCUCUUUUGUCGGGGAGCAAAAGACGCCACGCGUGGCGUUCCGCGAGUACCCGAAGAAAAAGCAUCGUCUAACUCCGUGCCAGCAGCCGCGGUAAUACGGAGGAUGCGAGCGUUAUCCGGAUUUAUAGGGUUGAAAGGGUGCGCAGGCGGAAGAUCAAGUCAGCGGUAAAAUUGAGAGGCUCAACCUCUUCGAGCCGUUGAAACUGGUUUUCUUGAGUGAGCGAGAAGUAUGCGGAAUGCGUGGUGUAGCUGUGAAAUGCAUAGAUAUCACGCAGAACUCCGAUUGCGAAGGCAGCAUACCGGCGCUCAACUGACGCUCAUGCACGAAAGUGUGGGUAUCGAACAGGAUUAGAUACCCCUGUAGUC